UUAAAUUCUAGAUACAAGAGAUUGACACAGCAUAUUUAUUUGACACCAAUCAAUCUUCAAAACUACUAAUUAAGUAUCUAGAGGUUCCAAGGCAUGGCUAAUCUGGAGAUUAUGAAGGCUUUUGCUCUGUGUGAAUCUGUGCUUCUAGCCUGUGCAGAAAAUAUAAAUUGUGUUGGCUUUUGAAGGAGAUGCUGAUGCUAAUGCUAUUGUUAUUGUGGAAAAGAUGAAUGAUAAAGUUUGAUCCUGAAAGAAACACACUGCUCCCCUGCCCCAUGGAAGAUAAAGAAAGCAAAACAAGUACGUCGACUGAAUGGUACACUGUAAACCCCAUAAACCCAGCAG
rnacentral:misc_RNA from 1 species